rnacentral:rRNA from 1 species
GGACCAUCAUGUUGGUCGUGCCUCGGUACGCACUGGUAUUGUUGGUUUCUCCCUUCUGACGAACCAUGAUGUCAUUUAUUUGGUGUUGUGGGGAACCAGGACUUUUACUUUGAAAAAAUUAGAGUGUUUAAAGCAGGCAUUAGCUUGAAUACAUUAGCAUGGAAUAAUGAAAUAGGACGUUUGAUCCUAUUUUGUUGGUUUCUAGGAUUGACGUA